rnacentral:sRNA from 21 species
CUACAAGCCUUAAAACGGAAACCAAGACCAUAAACUUCUGUUUGGGUCAUUUUAACAAAUGAUCUCGUUGGAGCCGUAGGAUCGCAAAUUGCGCGGUCAGGUAAUUGACGAGCUCACGCUUUAUCGCUGGUUUU